rnacentral:rRNA from 1 species
GCCUCAUACUAACAAAAACGCUAGUAGUCCUAGCCCAAAUACCCAGGGCCAAAGCCCUAGGGUUGUAAAGCACUUUAAGUUGGGAAGAAAAGUUAUUGGUUAAUACCCAAUAACCGUGACAUUACCAUCAGAAUAAGGACCGGCUAAUUCCGUGCCAGCAGCCGCGGUAAUACGGAAGGUGCAAGCGUUAAUCGGAAUUACUGGGCGUAAAGCGCGCGUAGGUGGUUUAUUAAGUUGGAUGUGAAAUCCCCGGGCUCAACCUGGGAACUGCAUCCAAAACUGAUUCACUAGAGUACGAUAGAGGGAGGUAGAAUUCACAGUGUAGCGGUGGAAUGCGUAGAUAUUGUGAAGAAUACCAAUGGCGAAGGCAGCCUCCUGGAUCUGUACUGACACUGAGGUGCGAAAGCGUGGGUAGCGAACAGGAUUAGAUACCCUGGUAGUCCACGCCGUAAACGAUGACAACUAGCCGUUGGGAGACAAUGUCUUUCAGUGGCGCAGCUAACGUUUUAAGUUGUCCGCCUGGGGAGUACGGCCGCAAGGCUAAAACUCAAAUGAAUUGACGGGGACCCGCACAAGCGGUGGAGCAUGUGGUUUAAUUCGAUGCAACGCGAAAAACCUUACCUACUCUUGACAUACUUGGGAGCUCUUGUAAUGAGAGUGUGCCUUAUGGAACCAAGAUACAGGUGCUGCAUGGCUGUCGUCAGCUCGUGUCGUGAGAUGUUCCGUUAAGUCGGAUAACGAGCGCAACCCUUACCCUUAUUUGCCAGCGAUUCGGUCGGGAACUAUAAGGGGACUGCCGGUGAUAAACCGGAGGAAGGUGAGGACGACGUCAAGUCAUCAUGGCCCUUACGUAUAGGGCUACACACGUGCUACAAUGGGGAAUACAGACGGACGCUAAGCCGCGAGGUGGUGCUAAUCCUAGAAAAUUCUUCGUAGUCCGGAUUGGAGUCUGCAACUCGACUCCAUGAAGUCGGAAUCGCUAGU